rnacentral:rRNA from 1 species
UACGUAGGGGGCUAGCGUUGUCCGGAAUCAUUGGGCGUAAAGCGCGUGUAGGCGGUCCGGUAAGUCCGCUGUGAAAGUCGGGGGCUCAACCCUCGGAUGCCGGUGGAUACUGUCGGGCUUGAGUACGGAAGAGGCGAGUGGAAUUCCUGGUGUAGCGGUGAAAUGCGCAGAUAUCAGGAGGAACACCAAUUGCGAAGGCAGCUCGCUGGGACGUUACUGACGCUGAGACGCGAAAGCGUGGGGAGCAAACAGGAUU